AUGUCGACUCGAUGCUUCUUGGCCCUUUGCUGCAUUGCCGUGGCGGCAAUGUCGCUCGCCGUGGCGCCGGCGGACGGCGCGAUCCUCCCAUGGUUCGGGAGCGGCGGCGGCAGUCGCGGCGCGCGCGAUGACGCGGUGGCAUCGCCGAUCCAGGACGUGGCCCUGCUCGCCGACCCGUUCCGGAUCCUGGAGCACGUCCCCUUCGGCUUCGACCGCGACGACGUGGCCAUGGUGUCCAUGGCCCGCGUGGACUGGCGCGAGACCUCCGACUCCCACGAGAUCGUCGUCGACGUGCCAGGGAUGAGGAAGGAGGACCUGAAGGUGGAGAUCGAGGAGAACCGGGUGCUGCGGAUCAGCGGCGAGCGGCGGCGGGAGGUGGAAGAACGGAAGGGGACCACUGGCACCGCGAGGAGCGCUCCUACGGCAGGUUCUGGCGCCAGAUGCGCCUCCCCGACAACGCGGACCUCGAUUCCAUCGCGGCGAGCCUUGACGCCGGUGUCCUCACCGUGCGCUUCCGGAAGCUGGCGCCCGAACAGAUCAAGGGCCCGCGCGUGGUUGGCAUCGCCGGGGGCGACGACGGCGCCGCUGCCAAGAAGACCAUCGGCGACGCCGGUGCCGGUGGAGGUGAAGAGCGCCAGGCCAAGAAAGUUGAGCUCUGAAAUUCUGAACUUUGCACUCAGUACGCUUGUCAGUUCCUCUUCUCAGUACAGUGUGUAG
rnacentral:rRNA from 1 species